rnacentral:lncRNA from 12 species
AUGCAGCAGUCAUCUGAUGCAAUAGUUCAUUUCCAUGGCUACGAACUUUGCUUUGGUUUGUUUGAUCUUGGACUCCAGAUCCGUGUGAGUGCAUGUGUUUCACAACUCAACCUGGAAGGGAAAAAAAAUCAGAGGAAGAGCCACUUGGCAGGAGGUGCACCUUGUUUGCCACACGCCACAGAAUGCCAGUGGGAAAGAUGUCAACGGAGAUCAAAAUGACAGAUGUUACACAUUCUCCCAGGUGCUGCUAGACAUAAACAUUGUUUCCUCCUCACCCCCUACUCACUACUUCUUCUUUGAAGUAUCUCUACCAAACUGUCAACCCAAACUCAGGAGAAAAAAAAUUAGAGAAGUACAAAUUCUGAAUGUACUUAAUGUUGUAACGAUUAUCAUUUCAGGACCAGAAUUUCCUCGUCUUGGCCUACACGUGUUUUCAUGAUCAGAACAAGAGGAACAUUUGUCAUUUUUCUACUUAAUGACUUAAACAGAAUCGGCCCUUUCCAGAAUCUCCUACUACAAAAGCAACAAACCUAAUACAAAGCCAGCUCUCUUCCCCCGGCCUCCCUCAUCUCCAAAGCCAUAGUGGAAAUUGCAAGCGGUACUUAAAGAUGGGGUUUUCAAAAAAGAAGUAUUGACGAACGCUAAGUUAAGUCAGCUAUAGAGCAAAACAAAUUUAAUUUGUCCACGGCUGAAAACAACUAACUGUGGACAAAUUUAUCGAAUUGUUUCUUGACUAAGGGAUCCCUAUUCUGAGCCAACAAUUAGAACUGGUAGGUUUCUUAGAAAGGAUGAUACUCAAGGAUCUCUUAGUAGCAAGCCUUUUGGGGAAAAAGAGGGAAGUGCAUUUAGCAAGAGAAGGAAAGGAAUGGUAUAUACUAUUUUGAUCAUGUUUUAUAUGUGCAGAUUGUUUGAUUCCAAUUAAGACCUAAGAAGGGAUGCCUGGCUGGCUUGGUGUGUAGAGCAUGCGACUCUUGAUCUUGGGGUUGUGAGUCUGGGCCUUUUGUGGCAUGUAGAGAUCACUGAAAAAAUUGGAAAAAAAAAAAAGAGUAAUAGGGAAAGAGCAUUUUGUAAUAUUUGACAUCAAAUCACUAUGUCGUACACCUGUAGCUAAUGUAAUAUGUCAACUAUACUUAAAUAAAACAAAUAGUAGGGGAAAAAUCUAAUAAAUC